UGGGGAAUAUUGGACAAUGGGCGAAAGCCUGAUCCAGCCAUGCCGCGUGUGUGAAGAAGGUCUUCGGAUUGUAAAGCACUUUAAGUUGGGAGGAAGGGCAGUUACCUAAUACGUGAUUGUUUUGACGUUACCGACAGAAUAAGCACCGGC
rnacentral:rRNA from 2 species